rnacentral:rRNA from 1 species
UGGGGAAUCUUGGACAAUGGGGGCAACCCUGAUCCAGCCAUCCCGCGUGUGCGAUGAAGGCCUUCGGGUUGUAAAGCACUUUUGGCAGGGAAGAAACAGCCUGGGCUAAUAUCCCGGGCGACUGACGGUACCUGCAGAAUAAGCACCGGCUAACUACGUGCCAGCAGCCGCGGUAAUACGUAGGGUGCAAGCGUUAAUCGGAAUUACUGGGCGUAAAGCGUGCGCAGGCGGUUCGGAAAGAAAGGUGUGAAAUCCCAGGGCUUAACCUUGGAACUGCACUUUUAACUACCGGGCUAGAGUACGUCAGAGGGGGGUAGAAUUCCACGUGUAGCAGUGAAGUGCGUAGAGAUGUGGAGGAAUACCGAUGGCGAAGGCAGCCCCCUGGGAUGAUACUGACGCUCAUGCACGAAAGCGUGGGGAGCAAACA